GACGAACGCUGGCGGCGUGCUUAACACAUGCAAGUCGAACGGAAAGGCCCUGCUUUUGUGGGGUGCUCGAGUGGCGAACGGGUGAGUAACACGUGAGUAACCUGCCCUUGACUUUGGGAUAACUUCAGGAAACUGGGGCUAAUACCGGAUAGGAGCUCCUGCUGCAUGGUGGGGGUUGGAAAGUUUCGGCGGUUGGGGAUGGACUCGCGGCUUAUCAGCUUGUUGGUGGGGUAGUGGCUUACCAAGGCUUUGACGGGUAGCCGGCCUGAGAGGGUGACCGGCCACAUUGGGACUGAGAUACGGCCCAGACUCCUACGGGAGGCAGCAGUGGGGAAUAUUGCACAAUGGGCGGAAGCCUGAUGCAGCAACGCCGCGUGCGGGAUGACGGCCUUCGGGUUGUAAACCGCUUUCGCCUGUGACGAAGCGUGAGUGACGGGAAUGGGUAAAGAAGCACCGGCUAACUAUGG
rnacentral:rRNA from 1 species